UUCUUCGGGGCGAGGUGCAAUUCCUCACCGGCGGUAAAGUCCGCGACCCGCGAUGAGCGGCUGAUUUGGUGCGAUUCCAAAACCGACAGUACAGUCUGGAUGAGAGAAGAA
rnacentral:ncRNA from 1 species